rnacentral:lncRNA from 1 species
CUGAGCCUCUCGGACUCGGGGAGGGCUCCGGGCAGCUGUGCCAAGCAAGCAUGGGUUUGCCGAUGAGGCAGCUGAGUCCACGCAUCCACAGACUUAAUGCAAGUCCUAACUCCCAGCCCCGCAGAACGCAACCUUAUUUGGAGAUAGGGUCUUUGCAGAGGGCAAUGCAUCUACGGGCCAGGGAACAUCGAAGAUGCCAGCCAACCACCAUGAGCCGGGGGAGAAGCCGGGCCCUGAUUCUCCCCCACAGCCCUCAGGAGGAAGUAACCUUGCUGACGCCCUGAUCUUGGACUUCCAGACCUCACAGCUGGGAGACAAUACAUUUCUUCGUUGAAGCCACUCAGUUUGUGCUGCUUUGUUACGGCAACCCUAGCAAGCGAAUGAUCGUUUUACAAAUGAGCGAAACCAAGAUUAUGAAGUGACUUUCCCAAGGUUACCUGGGCACAGUGGACCUCUUGGGUGCUUAUUUUCUCUGCCGUUUUUAAAUGUGGAUAUCCGCCUCUGUCCCCCACCUCCCCACCCCCAAUCCUGUGCCCUCGGCUCUCUGGGUGUUCAUCCAUCCAUACGUCUUUGAGGCAGACAAUGUUGUGAGCACAGGGGCCCGGCAGGAGAACAAACAAUAGACACAGGCCCCGCC